CUGGCCUCGAAUCGGGCGGGAUUACCCGCUGAACUUAAGCAUAUCAAUAAGCGGAGGAAAAGAAACUAACAAGGAUUCCCCUAGUAACGGCGAGUGAAGCGGGAAGAGCUCAAAUUUGAAAUCUGGCGGUCCACGGCCGUCCGAGUUGUAUUCUGUAGAGGCGUCUUCCGUGCCGGACCGCGUACAAGUCCCUUGGGAUGGGGCGUCGUAGAGGGUGAGAAUCCCGUUCGCGACGCGGACUUCCGGUGCCCUGUGAUGCGCCUUCUAAGAGUCGAGUUGUUUGGGAAUGCAGCUCAAAUCGGGUGGUAAAUUCCAUCUAAAGCUAAAUAUUGGCGAGAGACCGAUAGCGAACAAGUACCGUGAGGGAAAGAUGAAAAGCAGGUUGGAAAGAGAGUAAACAGACUGAAAUUG
rnacentral:rRNA from 1 species